ACAGAUGCACAAAAUAACUUGAGAUAAAGCACAGAUGCUCACAGACCCAGUUCAAAGCGAUGGCAGCUUGAUGCUGAGACGCUGAUGACUGUUGUUCCAGG